UGAGCAGGUCGGGGCGCGUGUUCCGGAAGCCCGGCCCCGGGCGCUGUGAGGGGCACCUGGGGACGCUCCGCGAGUCUCUGUCCCAGCCCUGAGCUCAGCGGAAGACUGCAGAGUCCUGGGCCCACGAGAAUUCCGGCAGAAUCAGGCUUCCGGAUGUUCCAGGGACGUGUCCUGGUUCCCUGGCUAUUAUUACAAAGCAGCAGUUCAGAUCCAUGGAACUUCUCGACUGUUCUGCCUCUCGGUGACUUGAUCCAUCAACUGAAUAGUACAGCAUCUGAUCAGAUUUUAGAGAGAUUGUGCAUCCAGCUCUGGCUGUGGACCUGUGGUGUCGUGAUGACCUGGGAUCAUCAGAGAGCAGGAGGCCAUUCCCUUUGGUGCCUCUCAUUCCCUGUGUGCUGGCCAGCACAUCAUUAGGCCUGAUGGAAGGGUCUGCCAGGCCCUUCCCCACCGAGGGCCUCGUCAAGCUUCCUUGACAGGUGUGCAUCAGCAGGGCCUCAGCCGGGGCCGGCAAGCCUGGAAGGCCCUUGGCAGUGUCCUCAGUGCAUACAGUCAUCUUCCAUCUAGCUGUCCUGAUGCUGUGAGGCGGUGUCUCACUGUAUCCUGCGCCGUUUUGAUGAAGGAACAUCAGAUCACGCUUCCUCUGCUGAACACCCUCUCAAGAGUAAAAGCCUCGGCCUUCCUGGUGGCCUCCCAAGCCUGAAGGAUUCCCAGUGACCUCUGGCCUCAUCUCUGGAUGAUGCCCUGUCCUUCCCCCAAGCUGUUUCCCAAGCCCACCUAGCAGCCCCGAUGUCCUUCUGUAUCUGCCUGAUGUCUCCGCUUCACCAGGACUUCAUAUAAGGAGAUGACGGCUGGAUGAGCACUCUGCAGAGGGGUGCAGGGAGGCAGCCGUUUAUUCAAGGGAAGGGGAAAUGUUGCAGCAACAGGUGGAGGUGAAGGUCAAGUGCAGAGCCCUCCUGGCACAUCCAGUGCUCUCUCUGUCAUGGGGAGGGGUGAGGAGGGAGGAUGGUGCUUCCAGGAAAGCAGAGCUGAGGCCCGCUGGACUCCAGGCAGCUCUCUGCUCUCCUCGCCUUUUGCCUCAGAUUUUUGCAUGUCAGUCGGUCUGGAGAGGAGCUGAUGCUCUGGCGGUGCUGUCUGGCUCUGAACUAUGGAAGCCAAGAGCUCUGGUGGGGUAGGAACUGAGGGUCCACUACAUUUGCCCCAAGAACAUCCUUGCUGGCCUCACCGAGGGAGCCUGGCACGUGUCAUGCUUGGCAGUUGUUUUCCUGAGACUCCCCUGCUUUGACGGCGACAGGACACGGGGCCCUGAAUGCAUGAUAACAACAACUGCAGGUCCCCUGAGCCUUGUUUGUAGGGGUGGGUCAUCUCUAGUACCGACCUCCAUCCCCCUGAGAAGCAGGGCUGGCCACUUUGCCACCAGCCCCAGCCCUGCCCUGGAGAGAUCUGCAGUAUAAACGGACCGUGUGAAUGCUGGGAUCUGCAGUGUAAACGGACCGUGUGAAUGCUGAUUUUUACAAAGGCCCAAAUGUGGUCAAUUCAGUUAUUCAUACCAGGCAAGGAAGCUGCCUUAUGAAUAAUUCAAAGUUGUUGCAAAUCCACAGACCUUUUUCACAUUGCCUGCUUGCAGUAGGCUCUCCAUAAAUGUUUACCGAAUAACUGAAUAAAUUAACAUAUGAAUGAAUAUUUUGCAAUAAGCUUUUGGUAUUUACUUUUGCACAUCCGUCUGUUGAUGUUCUGCGGAUCAGCAGAUGGCCUCACAAAGGGGCUCAGGCAUGCUCCCCAAACAGGCCUGGAGCGCCCAGAAAAGCCAAGUGGGCCAUGGUUCUCCCUUGCCCUGCAGGAGUGGCGGGGAAUAGGAAAAAAACGUCCCCGUGGCUGAUACAGCCUCUAGCUGGAAGCUGUGAGAUUCCUGACACAGGCCGUGCCUGAUUUGUGUGACUUACCACUUUCAUUCUGCUUUUAUAACCCUCUCCUCUAGCCUUGGUUAAAGCUACCAUGUGGUCAGCAGAAUGGUCCCCCAAAGAUGUUCGGGCUCUCACCCCUGGAAACUGUGACUAUGUUCCGUCGCGUGGGAAGAGGGCUUUACAGAUGUGAUGAAAGGUAUGGACCUCACGAUAGAGAGAUCAUCUGGAACUAUCUGGUGAUGAAAAGUAUGGACCUCACAAUAGAGAGAUCAUCUGGAACUCUCUGGGCAGGCCCAGCUAAAUCACACGUGCCCUCAAAAGCAAAGACCUCUCUUCACUGGCGUCCGAGAGGUGGGGCUGAAGGAGAGGUGGGAGGGAUGGAAAAGUGAGAAGGCUCCAUGGGCUGCUGGGGGCUUGCAGAGGGAGGGUCACUGAGUCCAGGAAUGUAGGUGGCCCCAAGGAGCUUGAAAAGGCCUGGAACCAGUGGAGAAAUUGGGACUUAUACCCUGUAGCUAUCAGGAUGUGAAUUCUCCCAACUACAUAAGUGAGCUUGGAAGUGGAAUCCUUCCUGGAGCCCCCAGAAAGGGACACAGCCCUGCCAACACCUUGAUUUUGACCUUGUGGGACCCUAAGCAAAGAGCCGACUGAGCCACCCUGUGGCUGGACUUCUGACCCACGGAAACUGUGACCAAUGUACGGGCGAUGUUUUAAUUUACCAACUUUCACAGCAGCGUGCUAACACAGCGAACCAAUGUCACGGUGGCUUUGGACACGUGGCUUUAGCUCUUGGGACCCUGCUUCUUCCCCCUGAGUCUGAAGGGUUAGGUCACACCAUCUCUGACACCUCUCCCAGCUCUCAGGUUCUAGGAUUUGCUAUCAAUGAUAUCAACAGUUUUUGGAAUCAGGCUUGGGAGUCAAGCAGGCUGGGUUCAGGUUACCACUUUACAGCUUGAAGCUGCGCUGCUUUGUUCUGUGUUUUUGUUCCUAAUCUGUACACAGGGAUAAUAACACUGCCUUAUAAGGUUUUAACGAUUAAAUGGGAUCAUGCCUGAAAAAAAACU